rnacentral:rRNA from 1 species
GACGAACGCUGGCGGCGCGCCUAACACAUGCAAGUCGAGCGGAGAUAUUUGAAGGAAGUUUUCGGAUGGAAUUUGGGCAUUUUAGCGGCGGACGGGUGAGUAACGCGUGAGUGACCUGCCUUCCACAGGGGGAUAACGUACCGAAAGGUACACUAAUACCGCAUGAGACCACAGCACUGCCUGGUGCAGGGGUCAAAGGAGCAAUCCGGUGGAAGAUGGGCUCGCGUCCGAUUAGAUAGUUGGUGGGGUAACGGCCUACCAAGUCAGCGAUCGGUAGCCGACCUGAGAGGGUGAUCGGCCACAUUGGAACUGAGAGACGGUCCAAACUCCUACGGGAGGCAGCAGUGGGGAAUAUUGGGCAAUGGGGGAAACCCUGACCCAGCGACGCCGCGUGAGGGAAGAAGGUUUUCGGAUUAUAAACCUCUGUUCUUGGUGAAGAGGGAAAGACGGUAACCAAGGAGGAAGCCCCGGCUAACUACGUGCCAGCCGCCGCGGUAA